rnacentral:lncRNA from 1 species
CCGUGCCCAUUCAAUUUCUGAUACACUAGCAGAAGAUUCCUUCCGCGAUGAUGUUGUUGCUCCAGUUUUAGGUCCUAAAUGCCAUGGAAGAGUCAAGGGACUUGGAUUUGGAGUUGCACCACCAAAAGUGGAUGGACAAAUUUUAAGUAAUGGGAGAAUUAGAGAACUUGAAAGCUAAUUACAAACUCAGUUGGAAAGGGUGGGAGUACUGGAAGAAAAUAUCGAAGCACUUCUCAAGUUAUGUCAACAGGUCAUAACUUUUUGCCAUUAUAUGUACUAUGAUAAUAUAACUUAAUAUAGCC